rnacentral:rRNA from 1 species
CUACGGGGGGCUGCAGUGGGGAAUAUUGGGCAAUGGGCGCAAGCCUGACCCAGCAACGCCGCGUGAGGGAAGAAGGUUUUCGGAUUGUAAACCUCUGUCCUUGGGGACGAAGAAGUGACGGUACCCAAGGAGGAAGCUCCGGCUAACUACGUGCCAGCAGCCGCGGGAAUACGUAGGGAGCGAGCGUUGUCCGGAAUUACUGGGCGUAAAGGGUGCGUAGGCGGCAUAUUAAGUCAGGUGUGAAAUCCCCGGGCUCAACCCGGGGGGUGCAUUUGAAACUGCUACGCUUGAGUGUGAGAGAGGAAAGUGGAAUUCCUAGUGUAGCGGUGAAAUGCGUAGAUAUUAGGAGGAACACCAGUGGCGAAGGCGACUUUCUGGCUCAUAACUGACGCUGAGGCACGAAAGCGUGGGGAGCAAACAGGAUUAGAUACCCGUGUAGUC